ACGUGUCCAACAAAGUCUGGUAUUCAUCCAUUGAUUCACCACCAAGUAACUCUCCGACUUGGAGGUGUCGAACGACAAGCCCGGCAGGCACAUACCAACGGCAACGACCCAGGUACCGAAAUGGAUCUCUUCUCGAGCAGGCUGGGCAAAGCUUAGUAAACACUGGUACAUGAAGAUCCAAGCGGCAAGCGCAUUCCAAAUGUGACACCAACAAUCCAUGAACAAAAAAAAAAAUAUCAACUUCACAUACGAGCAGAUCGAACGAUCAACUAGUAAAAAAAAAACUCAUCGAUUUUCAAAUGAGACAGACUGAAUAAUGUCCAGAUUUUCAAUCAAUGCACAGUCAAAGCCUCUCGGUGCGAAAUCCCGGACUCCACCAAGCAUAUCCAGCCACAUCCAUGAUCGUUCGCCCCCUCGGUUUGCCCUGUUUCGGCCCGGGUUAUCCCCAGUUUGCCCCGAGUUUCCUUCUAGUACCUAUGCCUCCGGGAAGGCGGGUGCUGCUGUUCCCACUGUCGCUCGAGAUGCUCCUUCUACUUUCAGAAGAAAAACAAUUCUUUCAAGAUCCGUAGAUACAUACGUCCUUCGUUCGGAUUUAUUAGGCCCCCUCUUAUUUUGGGCCAAAGUUUGACCUAAAAAAUUAACUAACAAAAUGUAAACUAUAUGUCACAAGAAUUAUAUUGUCGGAAAGCUCUUUCAAAUACAAAUCCAACAGUAUAAUUUUUUAUGGCAUAUACUUUACAUUUUAGUAGUCUAUAGAUGGUCAACAUCUGACACAAAAUACGAAGAGGCCCAAUAAACCCGGACGGAGGGAGUACAUUGGUGUGUUUUAUUUUAUUCUUGUAAAACACGAGAAACCCAGAAAAAGUCACUGACCUUCUAGGAUUGCGGCUCCUUGAUGCUCUCUAAGGUUGCCUCGCAUGGCCAACAAAACACAAGCAAGCAGCAAGCAUUCAACUAGUCAUGUUUCCUACACAGACCACUACACAUGUUGCACUCGCCUUCCUCGGAGGACUGGGUGAUGCAGAGUUGGAUGAAUCUCGCCUUCCACGCCAGCCUCAAUGUAAGAGGUCCUCUGGUUCUGCUACCACAGAGAGAAUUGGGUAUAUCAUUUACAAAAGGAGAUGGACUCCGUUGGAAGAUUUACAAGGCAGAGUCGGUUCAAAAACAAAAAAAAAAAACGAGGAAGAGAGGCAGCAACAAUUUCAUUACCUAUAUGGAGAAAUUGAUCUGGAGCAAGAGUGAAGAGGAGGGGAGCGACUAUGACGACUUGGAGGUGGUGGUGGUGGUGACCUUCUCGAAGGGCUGCUCAGUCUCCUUGGGGGUGGUGACCUGCUAAUAAAAGCAAGAUAAGUUAACUGCAACUUUCUGACACAAGUACAGCACCGAAUAGGCCAACACAAAAAAACUGUGAAACAAUUAGCAAAGAUAUCUCAUAAAUAAACCAAGAUAACUGGCACAUGGUAAUGGACUUGCCCAUCCAAAUGUCCAGGCAUUAUCAAUAAGCUCUAACACAAUAAUGACAUGAUCAUGACCAAAAUUGUAUAGUGAAGUAUAAACAUGUCAAGACAACACUGUCCAUAACUGAAGGUAAUGCUUCCUGAUACAUGGCACACAUAAGGCCAGUGUAAAUUAUACUGCUGUACAGUGGUCUCAAACCAUGUAUAACAUACUGUAUUUCUGGACAAGGUAGACAGAUUGCACAUAAGCGAUCUAUACAGGAAACUCAAACAAUAAACAAAGCUUGAAUUGACUUACCGCCUUCUAGGAGGCCCGGG
rnacentral:lncRNA from 1 species